UAAUAUUUGUGAGGUAUCACGGAUCACACUCAAACGUUGUUUUCCCAUAUCUGCAAACUCUGAAAAGAGAAGCCAGCAAUUUAACUCAAUAGAAGGCUGACCCCUGUUGUUAUAUGUCCCAUAUCUGCAAAUGCUGAAGUAAAGCUUGUGAUUAUCAAAGUUUGUUAUCUUAUUAAAUGAAUGGUUGGCCGAACCGGUUUUGGCGUCUACAAUCAGUGCUCAGUUUCUUCAUGAUC
rnacentral:misc_RNA from 1 species